rnacentral:lncRNA from 10 species
CUGAAUUUGUGUAAUUGUUCAACCAUGAGUCUACCAGCCUUGUCAUAAGAAACAACAACAACCCACUGACAACUCAUCUGGAAAAUCACUGCUCUGUUCAAGUCAUUUACACAGCACAAGAAAUCUCCGGCAAUGUGCCCAGAAGUUCUCGGGGAUAACGGGCUCAGCUGCGAAGUUCUUCCUUGAGCAUCUGAAUUUGGUUGUGGUCAGAUGGUGGAUAAAGCUGGACUUAUCUGAAUCUUCUUUCGUCACAUGUCUGGAGUGUCUGGAGUGGCUGGAAAACAGCUUCCUCACAAGUUGGCCAAGUGGCUGGAAGUCCACCUACAAUGGGCAUGCCGUCCUGGAACAUCUCUCUUCUCUAUCUUGGAUUCGGUUCUAUGACGGAGUCUUACUGUAGCACCCAGGCUGGAGUGCAGGAGCACGACCUCGGCUUACUGCAACCUCGACCUCCUGGACUCAAGUGAUUCUCCUGCCUCAGCCUCCCAAGUUGCUGGGAUUACAGGCUCACGUCACCACACCUGGUCCCCCUAUGUUAUUGGGGACAGAAUUGUGCCCAGACAAGAAAAUGAUGUUUCCCAGCCUCCCCUGCAGCUGAGUGGGGACAACCAUUGAGAUGCCGUUGCAGGGCUCCGCUUUGGAGCGGGCAUUGGAGGAAUUCUUUGACCACCAAGCAGCCUCCAUACCUCCCUCCUACAUAACAGAGCCACCGAGAGGCUGUUUGCAUUCUGCCUGCUUUCUCUUUUUCCGUUGCAGUAGUUUAUUAAUUAGUGUGCAAAAAAUAAAAAGGAGGUAAUAACCUUAUUUAUGUGCUAGU